GGACCUUUUCCUAAAGUGGAUCAAGUAGAGUGAAGCAGAGCGCAACGAGUAAAGCGAGCGGAGCAAAGAAAAAGUACAUAGAAAUUGGUGAGCAAGUUGAUUGUAUUUAUUCCAAAAAAGCAAACAGAGAAGGUGCCUGAACAUCUUGGUAUUGGUAGAUCAAAAUUAGUGAGUAUUUCGUUGAUCAUACAUUUUAGAUUAUUAGUUUCAUUGCCACUGCAAAUUAAGGAGGAGGUGGAGCACACAUCAUAUUCCAUAAAUUAAUGUAGUAAGCAGGCUAACAUAUAUAAUGGACUACACGAGGCCUAGUACUGCACAUAUUGUUAAUGUGGUUAGCAAGUACAUGGGCAUUCUUAGAAGACACAUUGUAGUAGAUCAUGAAAUAGAUUAUGAGAUAUUUAAAAGACUACAGAUAUUGACUUAGUCAAUCAUAGUGGUAAAUUAUCUAAUAGUAUUAUAGCUUUCGUUGGUUUUGAUUAUGCCAGUGAUUUGGAUAAGCAAUGAUCACUAAUAGGAUAUGCUUUUACUCUUUUUGGUUAUUUUGUUAGUUGGGAGGCUAUACUUCGUUC
rnacentral:lncRNA from 1 species